CGCUGGCGGCAGGCCUAACACAUGCAAGUCGAGCGGUAACAGGGGUGCUUGCACCCGCUGACGAGCGGCGGACGGGUGAGUAACGCGUAGGAAUCUACCCAGUAGCGGGGGAUAGCCCGGGGAAACCCGGAUUAAUACCGCAUACGCCCCAAGGGGGAAAGCAGGGGAUCUUCGGACCUUGCACUAUUGGAAGAGCCUGCGUUGGAUUAGCUAGUUGGUAGGGUAAAGGCCUACCAAGGCGACGAUCCAUAGCUGGUCUGAGAGGAUGAUCAGCCACACCGGAACUGAGACACGGUCCGGACUCCUACGGGAGGCAGCAGUGGGGAAUAUUGGACAAUGGGGGCAACCCUGAUCCAGCCAUGCCGCGUGUGUGAAGAAGGCCUUCGGGUUGUAAAGCACUUUAAGUUGGGAGGAAGGGGAGACAGCUAAUACCUGUUUUCAUUGACGUUACCAACAGAAUAAGCACCGGCUAACUCCGUGCCAGCAGCCGCGGUAAUACGGAGGGUACAAGCGUUAAUCGGAAUUACUGGGCGUAAAGCGCGCGUAGGCGGCUGAUUAAGUCGGGUGUGAAAGCCCCGGGCUCAACCUGGGAACUGCAUCCGAUACUGAUCGGCUAGAGUAUGAGAGAGGGAGGUAGAAUUCCACGUGUAGCGGUGAAAUGCGUAGAUAUGUGGAGGAAUACCGGUGGCGAAGCGG
rnacentral:rRNA from 1 species